GGAGCCCUGGCACAAUGGUUAAAUGCUUGUACUGCAGCCACAAGGUUGUAAGUUCGAUCCUGGAGGGUUCCA